rnacentral:rRNA from 1 species
UACGUAGGGAGCAAGCGUUAUCCGGAUUUAUUGGGUGUAAAGGGUGCGUAGACGGGAAUUUAAGUUAGUUGUGAAAUCCCUCGGCUUAACUGAGGAACUGCAACUAAAACUGAAUUUCUUGAGUGCGGGAGAGGAAAGUGGAAUUCCUAGUGUAGCGGUGAAAUGCGUAGAUAUUAGGAGGAACACCAGUGGCGAAGGCGACUUUCUGGACUGUAACUGACGUUGAGGCUCGAAAGCGUGGGGAGCAAACAGG